GAUGAAGAACGUAGCGAAAUGCGAUACUUGGUGUGAAUUGCAGAAUCCCGUGAACCAUCGAGUCUUUGAACGCAAGUUGCGCCCGAAGCCAUCAGGUUGAGGGCACGUCUGCCUGGGCGUCACAUAUCGUUGCUCGAUGCCUAUCGCAUUGCGAUAGGACUUAGGGCGAAUGAUGGCUUCCCGUGAGCGUUGUUGCCUCGCGGUUGGUUGAAAAUCGAGUCCUUGGUAGGGUGUGCCAUGAUAGAUGGUGGUCGAGUUAGCACGAGACCCAUCAUGUGCAUGCUCCCCAAAAUAUGGCCUCUGUGACCCACACGCGUCUUUUGACGCUCAUGACGAGACCUCAGGUCAGGCGGGGCUACCCGCUGAAUUUAAGCAUAUCAAUAAGCGGAGGA
rnacentral:misc_RNA from 1 species